rnacentral:misc_RNA from 1 species
CUUUUCUGGUUGAUUUCCUGAAGGGGAAACUUGGACAAUUUUCCUUUGCUCUUUUUUAUUAUAAUCUGUCUCCAAUGUUAUUAUCAUCCUAUUAUUAUAGGCAAAAUGGAAGGAAAUCCUUGCCCAUACAACCAUAACAAUCAAGGAAAAACUACUACACUGAAGAUGAGGUUGAACAAAAGAGAGCAAAGGAAAAUUGUCCCAGUUUCCCCUUCAGGAAAAUCAACCAGAAAAGAAUGUAGCUUCUCUCUCCCUUAUGGUUUCCAUAGAAUAGUAGUCUCUGCAAUCAUGGACGUGACUACAUAAGGAUCCAUAUUGGAAGCAGGCCUUCUGUCCUCAAAAUAGCCUUUCCCAGCUUUCUCCGUCUCCCUACCAACUCUAACUGAGGCUCCACGAUUUGCCACACCCCAUAAGAAGUUGUUAAUGUCAGCUGUUUCAUGUCGACCGGUCAAACGACGCUCAUUGCCUUCCCCAUAUGCAGCUAUAUGCUCCCUGUGCCUUAAUCCAAGCUUUUCAAUGGCCUUUUUUAUGACUUCAUAACCGCCAUCACUUCUCAUGGAUUUUGUGCUGUAGUUUGCGUGAGCACCAGCCCCAUUCCAAUCACCCUCGAUUGGUUUAGGGUCGAAGGAAAGGACUACUCCAGCAAUCUCUGUAAUCCUCUCAAGAAUAUAACGAGCCACCCACAACUCAUCUCCAGCAGAGAUGCCAACAGCAGGGCCUACUUGGAAUUCCCACUGGCCAGGCAUCACUUCUCCAUUGAUGCCAGAAAUGUUGAUCCCAG